rnacentral:lncRNA from 1 species
UUAGAGGGCUUUACCUCUUCUAGAGAUGUAGACAACCUUGGCAAUCAGUGUUGACCAGUUCUAGUUGCUCCUGCAGUAGGUCCAAGCAUUGACUAUAGUAGUGUAGGGUCUGAAAUAGGUGGCUAUCUAGCAGCAACAACCAUAGAUCCUUGGCAUGAUUGAACCUUCUACUUUCUCCAUAGAGUCCAUAGUGGAGUCUUCAUUCUCACUCCCUUAGCUUUAGGAGAGCUCCCCAC